UAAAAUCAGUGUGGCCUCUCAGAUCUACC
rnacentral:piRNA from 1 species